rnacentral:rRNA from 1 species
GACGAACGCUGGCGGCGUGCUUAACACAUGCAAGUCGAGCGAGGCCCUCCUUCGGGAGGUGUCCUAGCGGCGAACGGGUGAGUAACACGUGGGCAACCUGCCCUCAGCUCUGGGAUAACCCCAAGAAAUUGGGGCUAAUACCGGAUACGACCACUGACCGCAUGGUCUGGUGGUGGAAAGAUUUAUCGGCUGAGGAUGGGCCCGCGGCCUAUCAGCUUGUUGGUGGGGUAGUGGCCUACCAAGGCGACGACGGGUAGCCGGCCUGAGAGGGUGACCGGCCACACUGGGACUGAGACACGGCCCAGACUCCUACGGGAGGCAGCAGUGGGGAAUAUUGCGCAAUGGGCGGAAGCCUGACGCAGCGACGCCGCGUGGGGGAUGACGGCCUUCGGGUUGUAAACCUCUUUCAGCAGGGACGAAGCCCGCAAGGGUGACGGUACCUGCAGAAGAAGCACCGGCCAACUACGUGCCAGCCGCCGCGGUAAGAC